GUUAGCAUAGUUAACCGUUCUAUAUUUCUUUUUACUCAAAUAAUUAAAAAAAAUAAUUAUGUAUUAUAAAAGAUAUUAAACGGUCAUCUUGACAACCGUUUUGUAUUAUAUUAUUUUUUUAAUUAGGAGGAAAUUACAUACGGAGUAAUAAUUUACCCAAAUUAUCAAAUUAAAGUGGAUAAAAGUGAAAAUUGAAGGCAUUGAAGCCCGCAUCACUUACACUUUCAUGAAUUUCAUCAAAAAGUGAAACCUUUUUCUCAUUCAUCAUAAAAAAAAAAAAGUGAAACCUCCAUCAAACCUCCAUAGCAAAACCUUCAUCAUCCGCUUAUUGUUCAGCUCCACCGCCGCUCUACCGCUGCUCCACCAUCGCUCUACCGCCGCUCCACUUCUGCUGUACCGGACCUGUCUGCUGAGCCACCAGUAAAUUGAGCAAUUUAAAGGAACGCGCGGAAUUUGUGGUUUGCAGAAGAUGUUGGAGGUGACUGUUGUGGUUUUUGUCUAAAUUGGCUUGUCACCUCCUUGUGAUAUAGAUGGUUUCUGUGGCAGUGAAGGAGAUGGAGAUGGCUUAGGCUGUGCUGGCGCCACUUCUGCUGGAUGGAAAGGGGGCCGCUGUGCAGGUGGUUGAGAUGGUACUUAGGUCUCUUGGCUGGGACGUGGAGUAACAGGUGCUUGCUGAGGUUGUAAUUGUUUGAGCUGGUGCUUGGGCCACUUUGCUGGAACUGUGUACUAAUAUCUGCUUGCUACGUUUUGUCAAAAAAGAAAAACGAUAUACUUAUUUAUAUUUAUUUAGAUGAACUUAUUUUAUAUUAUUAACUAAUAUGUAUAUAUUUUACAUUGUUUUGUAGUAUU